UACGUAGGGUGCGAGCGUUAAUCGGAAUUACUGGGCGUAAAGCGUGCGCAGGCGGUUGGUUAAGUCUGAUGUGAAAGCCCCGGGCUCAACUUGGGAACGGCAUUGGAAACUGGCCAGCUGGAGUGUGGCAGAGGGGGGUGGAAUUCCGCGUGUAGCAGUGAAAUGCGUAGAGAUGCGGAGGAACACCGAUGGCGAAGGCAGCCCCCUGGGCCAACACGUGACGCUCAGGCACGAAAGCGUGGGGAGCAAACAGG
rnacentral:rRNA from 1 species